rnacentral:rRNA from 1 species
AACUGGGUAUAAUACCCGAUAGAUCUCGGCUGCUGGAAUGCACCGAGUUCUAAAGCUCCGGCGCUCAAGGAUGGAUCUGCGGCCUAUCAGGUAGUAGUGGGUGUAGCGUACCUACUAGCCUACGACGGGUACGGGUUGUGAGAGCAAGAGCCCGGAGAUGGAUUCUGAGACACGAAUCCAGGCCCUACGGGGUGCAGCAGGCGCGAAAACUUUACAAUGCUGGCAACAGCGAUAAGGGAACCUCGAGUGCCAGGUUACAAAUCUGGCUGUCGAGAUGCCUAAAAAGCAUUUCAUAGCAAGGGCCGGGCAAGACCGGUGCCAGCCGCCGCGGUAACACCGGCGGCUCGAGUGGUAACCGUUAUUAUUGGGUCUAAAGGGUCUGUAGCCGGCCGGAUAAGUCUCUUGAGAAAUCUGGCAGCUUAACUGUCAGGCUUUCAGGAGAUACUGUCUGGCUCGAGGCCGGGAGAGGUGAGAGGUACUUCAGGGGUAGGGGUGAAAUCUUGUAAUCCUUGAAGGACCACCAGUGGCGAAGGCGUCUCACCAGAACGGACCUGACGGCAAGGGACGAAAGCUAGGGGCACGAACCGGAUUAGAUACCCGGGUAGUCCUAGCCGUAAACGAUACU